rnacentral:rRNA from 1 species
UACAGAGGGUGCGAGCGUUAAUCGGAAUUACUGGGCGUAAAGCGUGCGUAGACGGUUUCGUAAGUCGGGUGUGAAAUCCCCGGGCUCAACCUGGGAAUUGCAUUCGAAACUGCGAGGCUAGGGUACGGAAGAGGGAAGCGGAAUUUCUGGUGUAGCGGUGAAAUGCGUAGAUAUCGUGAGGAAGACCAGUGGCGAAGGCGGGUCUCUGGACAGUUCCUGACACUGAGGCACGAAGGCCAGGGGGAGCAAACGGG